rnacentral:rRNA from 1 species
GCCUACCAUGGUUUUAACGGGUAACGGGGAAUUAGGGUUCGAUUCCGGAGAGGGAGCCUGAGAAACGGCUACCACAUCCAAGGAAGGCAGCAGGCGCGCAAAUUACCCAAUCCCGACACGGGGAGGUAGUGACAAUAAAUAACAAUACAGGGCUCUUACGGGUCUUGUAAUUGGAAUGAGUACAAUUUAAAUCCCUUAACGAGGAACAAUUGGAGGGCAAGUCUGGUGCCAGCAGCCGCGGUAAUUCCAGCUCCAAUAGCGUAUAUUAAAGUUGUUGCAGUUAAAAAGCUCGUAGUUGAAUUUCGGAGUUCUACCGUCGGUCGGGCUACCAAGUCUGUACUGGUGUGUAGAAUUCCUACCUUCUGGGGAACUAUCAUGUUAUUAAUUUAGCGUGGUAGGAAACCAGGACCUUUACCUUGAAAAAAUUAGAGUGUUCAAAGCAGGCUUAUGUCUGAAUACAUUAGCAUGGAAUAAUAGAAUAGGACGGUGGUCCUGUUUUGCUGGUUUCUGAAUCACCGUAAUGAUUAAUAGGGAUAGUUGGGGGCAUUAGUAUUCAAUUGUCAGGGGUGAAAUUCUUGGAUUUAUUGAAGACUAACUUCCGCGAAAGCAUUUGCCAAGGAUGUUUUCAUUAAUCAAGAACGAAAGUUAGGGGAUCGAAGACGAUCAGAUACCGUCGUAGUCUUAACCAUAAACUAUGCCGACUAGGGAUCGGACGAUGUUAAAUUUUAUUGACUCGUUCGGCGCCUUACG